rnacentral:snRNA from 1 species
GUGCUCACUUCAGCAGCACAUAUACUAAAGUUGGAAUGAUACAGAGAUUAGCAUGGCUGCUGAGCAUGGAUGGCAUGCAAAUUCGUAAAGUGUUCCAUAUUUUU